rnacentral:rRNA from 1 species
AGCCCAGAGAAAUUUGGAUUAAUACCUCAUAGUAUGUGAGAAUCGCAUGGUUUUCACAUUAAAGUCACAACGGUAAAAGAUGAGCAUGCGUCCCAUUAGCUUGUUGGUAAGGUAACGGCUUACCAAGGCAACGAUGGGUAGGGGUCCUGAGAGGGAGAUCCCCCACACUGGUACUGAGACACGGACCAGACUCCUACGGGAGGCAGCAGUGAGGAAUAUUGGACAAUGGGCGCAAGCCUGAUCCAGCCAUGCCGCGUGCAGGAUGACGGUCCUAUGGAUUGUAAACUGCUUUUGUACAGGAAGAAACACUCCCUCGUGAGGGAGCUUGACGGUACUGUAAGAAUAAGGAUCGGCUAACUCCGUGCCAGCAGCCGCGGUAAUACGGAGGAUCCAAGCGUUAUCCGGAAUCAUU